rnacentral:rRNA from 1 species
UCCGUAGGCGGGCGUCUAAGUCAGUGGUGAAAUCUUACAGCUCAACUGUAAAAUUGCCAUUGAUACUGGAUGUCUUGAAUUAAUGUGAAGUGGUUAGAAUGUGUAGUGUAGCGGUGAAAUGCAUAGAUAUUACACAGAAUACCAAUUGCGAAGGCAGAUCACUAACACUAUAUUGACGCUGAGGGACGAAAGCGUGGGGAGCGAACAGGAUUAGAUACCCUGGUAGUCC